UUAGUGGCGAACGGGUGAGUAAUACGUGAGUAACCUACCUUUAACUCUGGGAUAAGCCUGGGAAACUGGGUCUAAUACCGGAUACGACCAAUCUCCGCAUGGGGUGUUGGUAGAAAGCGUUAUGUAGUGGUUAUAGAUGGGCUCACGGCCUAUCAGCUUGUUGGUGAGGUAACGGCUCACCAAGGCGACGACGGGUAGCCGGCCUGAGAGGGUGACCGGCCACACUGGGACUGAGACACGGCCCAG
rnacentral:rRNA from 1 species